UUGUGUGACGUCACGUGACACAUCCAACAGUGGGUUUUUACCGUGAACUUUACAGUUGCUUCAUACAUAUUUACAAUUUUAAUAACUUAAAAACCAUGGAAGAAGCCAAAAAAAUAUAUUAUAAGUAUUGUAUAGUACCAGAGUGCACAAAUACUAUUCGAAAAAACACCCAACGAAGUGUUUUUUCGUAUUUCAAGUGAUGCGAAAAUACGAAAACGGUGGUGUAAGGUGGUGAGAAGGGAUAAUAAACCUCCUAAGUCGUUUUUAUAUCGUUGUGAAGACCAUUUUAACAAACUUGUAAAACUGUAUGAGUUUCGACGCUGAUGAAUGCAAUGUCGUAUCAGAUGACGUCACAUUCCGUUCGACCAAUGGUGGCGUGUUUUGGAAGUUUGAAUUUCGCUCUCUUAUUUUGCACUUUUUAUAUAUUAUUUUAGGGGUUAAAAUAAUAAGUAAAUAAAAAAAACCUUUUCAUUAUAAUAUGACGAUAAUAAGUAUUUGAGAAAAAAAUUAUUAGGCCAUGUAAAAUUUUAUGCACAUUCCCUAAUGUCCAAAUAAGUGAACUUUGUGUAUUAAAGAGUGCUUGAAAAUUUAUUACAAAUAGGUUCUUGUAUAUCGUGAUGAAGAUCUAUCUCAGUUACGUCACGAUUAUCCUAAAUUUGUAUUACUCCUUACAAAAUAACAAUAAAAUAAACGCUUCUAUUCCAUUCGAUAAA